rnacentral:tRNA from 1 species
GGGGCAGCGACUUAAUGGAUAGAGUAUGAACCUGGAAGUCAUAAGGACCUGGGUUCUAAUCCCAGCUCCACCA